rnacentral:rRNA from 1 species
GACGAACGCUGGCGGCGUGCUUAACACAUGCAAGUCGAACGGUGACGAGGAGCUUGCUCCUCUGAUCAGUGGCGAACGGGUGAGUAACACGUGAGCAACCUGCCCCAGACUCUGGGAUAACAGUUGGAAACAGCUGCUAAUACCGGAUACGAGACGGAGAGGCAUCUCUACCGUCUGGAAAGUUUUUCGGUCUGGGAUGGACUCGCGGCCUAUCAGCUAGUUGGUGAGGUAAUGGCUCACCAAGGCGACGACGGGUAGCCGGCCUGAGAGGGCGACCGGCCACACUGGGACUGAGACACGGCCCAGACUCCUACGGGAGGCAGCGGUGGGGAAUAUUGCACAAUGGGCGAAAGCCUGAUGCAGCGACGCCGCGUGAGGGAUGACGGCCUCGGUUGUAACGU